UCGUAGGUGACCUGCGGAAGGAUCAUUAUUGAAUUUUGAGAGAGGUUGUAGCUGAUCAUUAAGAUAUGUGCACGCCUCAUUUCCAAAUUUUACACCAUGUGCACUUUUUGUAGGCUGACUUCUGUUGGUCUAUGUCUUUUUAAACACACUCAAAAGUUUAGAAUGUUAAAACACAAGCUUUGCAUUUUUGCAAGCUUUAAAAUUAAUACAACUUUCAACAACGGAUCUCUUGGCUCUCGCAUCGAUGAAGAACGCAGCGAAAUGCGAUAAGUAAUGUGAAUUGCAGAAUUCAGUGAAUCAUCGAAUCUUUGAACGCACCUUGCGCUCCUUGGUAUUCCGAGGAGCAUGCCUGUUUGAGUGUCAUUAAAUUCUCAAUCCUUUCAAACUUGUUUUGCAGAGGCUUUGGAUUUUGGAGUGUUGCUGGGCUUUCAAAGUCGGCUCCUCUUAAAUGUAUUAGCUUGUAUAUUUUUGCGGACAAGCUUUAGUUUGAUAAAUAUCUAUGCUAAUUGCUUUGAAGCAAAUGUCAGCUUCCAAUUGUUGUUUUACAACACUUUUUUGACAUUUUGACCUCAAAUCAGGUAGGACUACCCGCUGAACUUAAGCAUAUCAAUAAGCGGAGGAAAAGAAACUAACAAGGAUUCCCCUAGUAACUGCGAGCGAAGCGGGAAAAGCUCAAAUUUAAAAUCUGGCAGUCUUUUGGCUGUCCGAGUUGUAAUCUAGAGAAGUGCUUUCCGCGUUGGACCGUGUACAAGUCUCUUGGAACAGAGCGUCAUAGAGGGCGAGAAUCCCGUCUUUGACACGGACUACCAGUGCUUUUGUGAUGCGCUCUCAAGAGUCGAGUUGUUUNGGAUGCAGCUCAAAUGGGUGUAAAUUCAUC
rnacentral:rRNA from 1 species